rnacentral:rRNA from 1 species
CACGUAGGGUGCGAGCGUUGUCCGGAAUUAUUGGGCGUAAAGAGCUCGUAGGCGGUCUGUCGCGUCGAUCGUGAAAACUUGGGGCUUAACCCUGAGCUUGCGGUCGAUACGGGCAUGACUGGAGUUCGGCAGGGGAGACUGGAAUUCCUGGUGUAGCGGUGAAAUGCGUAGAUAUCGAGAGGAACACCUGCGGCGAAGGCGGGUUGCUGGGCUGACACUGACGCUGAGGCGCGAAAGCUAGGGGAGCGAACGGG